GAGGAAUAUUGCUCAAUGGGCGAAAGCCUGAAGCAGCAACGCCGCGUGCGGGAUGAAGGCCCUAUGGGUUGUAAACCGCUGUAGAAAGGGAAAAAUGUCCGCCUCUGGCGGAUGGGAUGGUACCUUUAAAGUAAGCCACGGCAAACUACGUGCCAGCAGCCGCGGUAAUACGUAGGUGGCAAGCGUUGUCCGGAAUCACUGGGUGUAAAGGGUGCGCAGGCGGAAAGGUAAGUGAGAGGUGAAAUCGUACGGCUUAACCGUGCAACUGCCUCUCAUACUGCUUUUCUUGAGUACGGAAGAGAAUGAUGGAAUUCCUGGUGUAGCGGUGAAAUGCGUAGAUAUCAGGAAGAACACCAGUGGCGAAGGCGGUCAUUUGGUCCGUUACUGACGCUCAUGCACGAAAGCGUGGGGAUCAAACAGGAUUAGAUACCCUGGUAGUCCACGCCCUAAACGAUGAUUACUUGAUGUUGGCUUCGGUAGGAGUCAGUACCGCAGAUAACUCGGUAAGUAAUCCACCUGGGAAGUACGCUCGCAAGGGUG
rnacentral:rRNA from 1 species